CUGACCUCAGUUUCCUCGUCUGAACAGGGAACAAUGCCACACUGUCGUCUUUCCACACUGAAGACUAUUGCAGUCUUCUAGUAGACCAAUGAAGACCUGCCCGACGGCAACCUCUGGAUGAUCUGGAAAGAAAAUGGGCCAUACCUCCUUGAGUACACUGGAUCCAACUUGUUUCAUUUCAACCAGAACUUCAGGUACUGACUUCAAUCAACACGAGAACUUCAAUCAAGGACUUCAACCUGGACCUUCAAUCAAGCAUCUCCCACCAGACACUGACUGGAUAUAACCCAUUCAGGACUUUUAUUACACUAACAUUUCUUCCCACAGGACCCUACAAGGCUGUCAUCCUCCCAGUUCAGCAGGAAGUAGCAUGGAAAAUGCUACUUUCCCCCUUUCCCCACUGUUGACACCUAUUUAGAGCUAGUUUCCAAUUGUUUAAGGUUGG
rnacentral:lncRNA from 1 species